CCUAGCUCUUCUUACAGGCCUUUCACCGCUGGUUCAGCCUUUGUGGAGCACUUAGAGACCGUGUUCCCAGCACUCCCCACUAUGUGCAGGAGGUGAAGCCUUGAACACACUUGCUGAAGAACGAACAUAAGGGAAGCUUGUCUGCCUUCAGAAUCAUCAGUGGAGCUUUUGAAAGGGCAGAUCUUGGGGCCUCACCCCAGGAGAUCCGAUUCAGCAGGUCUGCGGGGACUGAGGUAUGGCAGGGGAAACCGCCCCCAUCUCAAGGGUGAGGUUAGGACUUGGCUCCUGUGUAUGUAUUCCACCCAGAAAUACUGAGUUAACAUUAGCUGAAUUAACUAAACAAAGUAUCAAGCAUAAUACCCACAGGGUAAGCCAGUGAGGAUAGAGGAUAAAUACAUUAUUAGUCUGGCUUUGCCGCUGUGGUUAUCCUCAAACAGUAGGGUUUAGUGUAUGUAUGUAUAUGUAUUAU
rnacentral:lncRNA from 10 species